UUUUUUUUUUGACAUUUCUCAACUGAAUUUGUACAUGCAAGUUCCACAUCUCUAAGAUAGAAAUAUUGAAAUCGUAAUCCGUGAUGAGCAGGACCAAAAUGUCAUCCAUACCCAUGAGGAUAUCCCAAGAAAAGAAGCAAUGGCUAGAAAAGAGAAGGCAACACAUGUAUACAAUGGAAAGGAAAAUUCACGGGCAGAAGCUGAUAAUGUGAUAUCAAAAGUGGCAUUGGCACAACAUGCACAACGAAAACAAGAAAGAAUUUUAAAGCAAGGCUAGCGACCUAGCUAGUGUCUUCAAGCUGGUAAUGUGAUAUCAAAAGUAGCAUUGGCGCAACGUGCACGACGAGAACAAGAAUGAAUAUUUAAACA